GGUAGGGCUUCCCAGGCUGGUGCCGGGCCCGGUCUUCAAAACCGGUGAAUGGUGCUGAGAGGCGCUGUUGGGGGGUUCGAUUCCCCUGCUCUACCGCCA
rnacentral:tRNA from 1 species